rnacentral:lncRNA from 1 species
GCCUGGUCGGAAUAAUUCCUCAAAGAACCAGGCAGCUGUCUUUUGUCCACCUAGUGUUUAUAUAGGGUUUGCAAGCAAGAACUAGUACAGAAGCAGAGCAAGCAGUUGAUUGGUUAAUAUGAUAUCAUUACUACUGAUUGGUCUAUAACUCAGGUUAGAAAGCGUAAAUUUAGGGUAAGGUCGGCUAGAUAAGGGAGAAGCCUCAGUUUAGGGCAGGGUCGGCCAAGGAGGGAUUUGCACCCUGGACUGGGCCCCACCCGUCAGGUAAAAGGCCGAAGACCAAGACCAGACCAGGCCACAACAAGCCUUUAUUAGGGGAAUAGAUCUGCUGAGCUGUCUCUAAACAAAGGAGAGACAAAAGCAAUAUGGCCGGGGCAGGGAGAGUCUUUUAUAGACUGGGGUGGGGUUUGUAGGGGCUGAGGUGGGGUUGAGUGAGGUAGUGACUAGGGAAUGGAGGAGCCGGUGACGUCACUAGGUGGUAGGAGGUGAGUGAGUAUUAGGUUACUCUCUAGGUGGGAACAGGGGCAUGCUGGGAAGAAGGGUUUGUUCUUUGGUGGGAGCAGCCAUCUUGGCAUGACGUCACACAGGGGAGGGGGCAAGGCACGAUGGGAAGAGGGCAGCUACUGUACAUAAUAGCUGCUGGGGUAGUGGGAGACCUGUCACCACCUGUAUUAUCCUCCUGCCCCAGCAGCAGCAGCUCGCAGUGGCCCUGGCGGACAGAGGCAGAGUUAGAGACCUGGUGCCAGCCCCAUUGCAGCAAGGCUUCUCGAGGCACUGGAUGGCCAGAGACUGGGGCUGUAUCAGAAAUGCAUCAUAGCGAGCACGUCAUGUCCACAUGGGUUCCAGCCCUGGGCAGACAGGGAGUCUUGACGGCAGGUAUCGAGGUCUGCCCUCGGCAGCACUAACAGUAACCAGCUGUGCAAAUCGGAGUCUCCGGAGGGGCCGUUCUGAGCAUGAGCCUGAGAUCAGGAUAAGAAAAGGUUAGAAGCCUCUCUUUCCUCACAGAAGCGUUUGUGAGGACACUGAGUCCCCUCCCUACGCCGCGGCGUGGCUGCAUCGGGCUGUCCGCGUGGCCAGCGGUGUCUAACAAGCCGGCCACGGAGAAAGGAAGAGCCUGCCCACCUCCCCAGCACCUUCUGGGCCCGGGUUCCAGCCUCCGAGGCGCCCGUUCAGGUCACCUGUGAAGCUCUUAAAAGCGCCAGCACCCAGGCUGCCUCUGGGACGGCUGGGGUAUCUCCGCUGGGCCCGGCGUCAGGGACGGGAGAGCCAAACAUUGCCUGGCAGGGACUGGGCCUGUCUCCAUGCCUCUCCGAACCCCUGCCAGGCACAGUGCACACUUCACCUGCAAGACGAAGCAAAGGGGACGUUUCCUGAACUGUGGGUAAAUUUCAAAAUGAGUCAGGUGCUUUGGCACAGAAAUCUCAAAACAUAAUCUUGGACCAAGUUGAUCUGAUCAGGCGAUGGCCCUACAGUGGGCCCCGAG